AUCUGGAUAGCUCAGUUGGCUAGAGCGUGGAGCUGAUAACACCAAGGUUGCAGGUUUGAUCCCCGUAUAGGACA